UGUACUUUGUUACGUCUCAAUGGCAAUUUUAGCGCACGGCUCUGCCAGAGCCAUUUCCCAAGGCCCGGUAAUCGGAAUCUACCAGGCCUCUUUUU
rfam:Providencia rettgeri DSM 1131 genomic scaffold Scfld0, whole genome shotgun sequence.